UCCUCGUUAGUAUGGUGGUGAGUAUCCCCGCCUGUCACGCGGGAGACCGGGGUUCGAUUCCCUGACGGGGAG
rnacentral:tRNA from 1 species